UAAGCGGAGGAAAAGAAACUAACAAGGAUUCCCCUAGUAACUGCGAGUGAAGCGGGAAAAGCUCAAAUUUAAAAUCUGGUGGUUUUGCCAUCCGAGUUGUAAUCUGGAGAAGCGUUUUCUGUGCUGGACCGUGUACAAGUCUCUUGGAACAGAGCGUCAUAGAGGGUGAGAAUCCCGUCCAUGACACGGACGCCCAGUGCUAUGUGAUACGUUUUCAAAGAGUCGAGUUGUUUGGGAAUGCAGCUCAAAAUGGGUGGUAAGCUCCAUCUAAAGCUAAAUAUUGGCGAGAGACCGAUAGCGAACAAGUACCGUGAGGGAAAGAUGAAAAGCACUUUGGAAAGAGAGUUAAACAGUACGUGAAAUUGUUGAAAGGGAAACGCUUGAAGUUAGUCGCGUCUUACUUGACUCAGCCUUGCCUCGGCUUGGUGUAUUUCAUGUGAGACGGGUCAACAUCGAUUUCGACCGGCAGACAAGGGGAGUAAGAAUGUGGCACUCUUCGGAGUGUGUUAUAGCUUAUUCUCAUAUGUGUCGGUUGGGAUCGAGGACCGCAGCGCGCCCUUGUGGCCGGAGGUUCGCCUCACGUUACGCGCUUAGGAUGUUGGCAUAAUGGCUUUAAGCGACCCGUCUUGAAACACGGACCAAGGAGUCUAACAUGCUCGCGAGUGUUAGGGUGGAAAACCCUUGCGCAGAAUGAAAGUAAAAGUUGGGAACCUCCGCAAGGGGGCGCACCGACGCCCGGCCCAGAAGUUUACGGACGGUGCUGCGGUAGAGCGCGUAUGUUGGGACCCGAAAGAUGGUGAACUAUGCCUGAAUAGGGCGAAGCCAGGGGAAACCCUGUGUGGAGGCUCGUAGCGAUUCUGACGUGCAAAUCGAUCGUCAAAUUUGGGUAUAGGGGCGAAAGACUAAUCGAACCAUCUAGUAGCUGGUUCCUG
rnacentral:rRNA from 1 species